AACGAACGCUGGCGGCAGGCUUAACACAUGCAAGUCGAGCGAAGCCUUCGGGCUUAGCGGCGGACGGGUGAGUAACGCGUGGGAACGUGCCCUUUGCUACGGAAUAGCCCCGGGAAACUGGGAGUAAUACCGUAUGUGCCCUUCGGGGGAAAGAUUUAUCGGCAAAGGAUCGGCCCGCGUUGGAUUAGGUAGUUGGUGGGGUAAUGGCCUACCAAGCCGACGAUCCAUAGCUGGUUUGAGAGGAUGAUCAGCCACACUGGGACUGAGACACGGCCCAGACUCCUACGGGAGGCAGCAGUGGGGAAUCUUAGACAAUGGGGGAAACCCUGAUCUAGCCAUGCCGCGUGAUCGAUGAAGGCCUUAGGGUUGUAAAGAUCUUUCAGUGGGGAAGAUAAUGACUGUACCCACAGAAGAAGCCCCGGCUAACUCCGUGCCAGCAGCCGCCGUAACAC
rnacentral:rRNA from 1 species